rnacentral:rRNA from 1 species
UCCCACGAUUUCCGAAUGGGGAAACCCACCUAAUCCGAUUAUUUCGCCCGUCAGAGAUGACGGACGGAGUAAUUGGAAAAAGGUAUCACUUAGCUGAAUAAAAUAGGCUUCGUGAAGCGAACCCGGCGAACUGAAACAUCUCAGUAACCGGAGGAAAAGACAUCAACCGAGAUUCCGUUAGUAGUGGCGAGCGAACGCGGACCAGGCCAGUGCUUCUAAUUCAACUAGCAGAACAGUCUGGAAAGGCUGACCAUAGCGGGUGACAGUCCCGUAUGCGAAAGUGAUGUUAGAAGACUCGAGUAGGGCGGGACACGUGUAAUCCUGUCUGAACAUGGGGGGACCACCCUCCAAGCCUAAAUACUCGUAUGCGACCGAUAGCGAACUAGUACCGUGAGGGAAAGGUGAAAAGCACCCCGAUGAGGGGAGUGAAACAGUACCUGAAACCGAUUGCCUACAAGCAGUGGGAGCCUCUUUAUGGGGUGACCGCGUACCUCUUGCAUAAUGGGUCUGUGACUUAAUGUAUCAAGCAAGCUUAAGCCGAUAGGUGUAGGCGCAGCGAAAGCGAGUCUGAAUAGGGCGAUUUAGUUUGAUGUAUUAGACCCGAAACCCGGCGAUCUAGGCAUGACCAGGAUGAAGGUGGGGUAACACCCACUGGAGGUCCGAACCGAUUAACGUUGAAAAGUUACCGGAUGAGUUGUGUUUAGGGGUGAAAGGCCAAUCAAGCCGGGAAAUAGCUGGUUCUCCGCGAAAACUAUUGAGGUAGUGCCUCGGAUGAACACCCUAGGGGGUAGAGCACUGGAUGGAUGCGGGGGUCGCGAGAUCUAC